GCACGAGUGGCGGAAUGGUAGACGCACCUGACUUAGGAUCAGACGCAGGAAUGCGUGAGAGUUCGAGUCUCUCCUCGUGUA
rnacentral:tRNA from 1 species